UAAUAUGGCCACACCACCCUGUAAACACUCGAUCUCCUCUGAUCUCAGAAUCUAAGCAGGGUCAGGCUCGGUUAGUCCUUGGAUGGGAGAUUNUCUGGGAACGCAAGCCAGAUCAG
rnacentral:rRNA from 1 species